rnacentral:rRNA from 1 species
UCAAGUUACUAAGGGUGCAUGGUGGAUGCUCUGGUGCCAAGAAGCGAUGAAAGACGUGGCGUGGCUGCGAUAAGCCUCGGUGAGCCGCCAAGCAGGCUUUGACCCGGGGAUGUCUGAAUGGGGAAACCCUCUGCGUUGAAGACGUGGAAACCGGCUCUGAAUUCAUAGGGGUCGGUGGCGAACGGGGUGAACUGAAACAUCUAAGUAACCCCAGGAAAAGAAAGAAACCUCGACUUCCUGAGUAGCGGCGAGCGAAACGGAAACAGCCUAAACCGGCGUUAUGUAAGCCCGAGAGCGUUGUAGCGUCGGUGUUGUGGGAGCGUCUGGCUCGGAUCUCGGCCCGAGCAAGAGGUUACAAAAGACUCGUCUAGCUGAAGGAUCUGGAAAGAUCCCCCAUAGCGGGUGAUAGGCCCGUAGGCGAAAGGCGUGUCUCCUCUGGACGAUUUCCCGAGUAGCGCCAGUCUCGUGAAACCUGGCGUGAAUCUGGGGGGACCACCCCCUAAGGCUAAGUAUUCCUUGGCAUCCGAUAGCGAAUAGUAGCGUGAGUGAAUAGUGAAAAGAACCCCUGCUAGGGGAGUGAAAUAGAACCUGAAACCAUGUAUCUACAAGCUGUGGGAACUCUAUGGCGUUUACGUCACGAGUGACCGCGUGCCUUUUGCAUAAUGGGCCGGCGAGUUACCGUCUGUUGCAAGGUUAAGUCCCUCAGGGACGGAGCCGUAGCGAAAGCGAGUGUGAAAUGCGCGACUCAGUAGCAGGCGGUAGACCCGAAAGCGAGUGAUCUAUCCAUGGCCAGGUUGAAGCGGGUGUAAAAACCCGUGGAGGACCGAACACACUAACGUUGAAAAGUUAGGUGAUGAGCUGUGGAUAGGAGUAAAAGGCUAAUCAAACUCGCAGAUAUCUGGUUCUCCCCGAAAUAGCUUUAGGGCUAGCCUCAGGUUAUAGCUGCUGGGGGUAGAGACACUGAUCGGGAUUGUGGGGGCUUCCAGCCUACCCGUCCUGGCCAAACUCCGAAUACCAGCAGCCUUAUCCUGGGAGUCAGACCUUGGGGGAUAAGCUCCAUGGUCGAGAGGGAAACAACCCAGACCGCCAGCUAAGGUCCCAAAUACGAACUAAGUGAUAAAGGAAGUGUCAGUGCUAAGACAGCCAGGAUGUUGGCUUAGAAGCAGCCACCAUUUAAAAAGUGCGUAAUAGCUUACUGGUCGAGCACUUUCGCGCCGAAAAUACUAGGGGCUAAGUUUGUAACCGAAGCUGCGGGAUGCAUAGCAUCAGUAGGGGAGCGUUCCACGUUAGGUUGAAGGGGUACCGUGAGGAGCCCUGGACGAUGUGGAAGUGAGACUGCCGGCAUGAGUAGCGAUAAAAUGAGUGAGAAUCCCAUUCGCCGAAAACCUAAGGUUUCCUGGGGAAGGCAAAUCCGCCCAGGGUUAGUCGGCACCUAAGGCGAGGCCGAAAGGCGUAGUCGAUGGACAGCAGGUUAAUAUUCCUGCACCACUCAUGUGGACGGACAGGGGUGACGGAGCUUGAAUAAUGAUCGCCCGGGUGAAAGUGGGCGUUUCUGGCCUGAGGGUCGCUGUAGGUAAAUCCGCAGCAUCAUGGCUCAGGGGCUGGACGGAGUUCUCUUUUGGACGAACUCGUUUGAAGGGCUUCCAAGAAAAUCCUCGGUUCGGUUGAAGCAUGAGUGACCGUACUAAAACUGACACAGGUAGGUGGGGUGAGAAUCCUAAGGCGCUCGAGAGAACCCUCGUUAAGGAACUCGGCAAAAUGACUCCGUAACUUCGGGAUAAGGAGUGCCCCCGCGGGUGAUAGGUUACACCUUGAGUCUGGGGGGGUCGCAGUGAAAUGGCGGUAGCGACUGUUUACUAAAAACACAGGUCUCUGCUAAGACGGCUAAGUCGAUGUAUAGAGACUGACGCGUGCUCGGUGCCGGAAGGUUAAAGGGACGGGUUAUCCCUUCGGGGAGAAGCUCAGAACUGAAGCCCCGGUAAACGGCGGCCCUAACUAUGAGGGUCCUAAGGUAGCGAAGUUCCUUGUCGGGUAAGUUCCGAC